GAUGAAGAACGUAGCGAAAUGCGAUAAGUAAUGUGAAUUGCAGAAUUCAGUGAAUCAUCGAAUCUUUGAACGCACAUUGCGCCCGCCAGUAUUCUGGCGAGCAUGCCUGUUCGAGCGUCAUUUCAACCAUCAAGCCCCAGGCUUGUGUUGGAGCCCUGCGGCUGCCGCAGCCUCCCAAAACCAGUGGCGGGCUCGCUAUCACACCGAGUGCAGUAGUUUACUCUUCGCUCAGGGCGUGUGGCGGGUGCUAGCCGUGAAACCCCCAACUUCUCAAGGUUGACCUCGGAUCAGGUAGGAAUACCCGCUGAACUUAAGAAUAUCAAUAAGCGGAGGA
rnacentral:misc_RNA from 1 species